AUUAUCAGAAGAAUCGGGAAGGAGGUGCUGGUUAGUGUAAAUGACCAGUACAUAAGCUCCACGUGCCCAACGCUGUGAGGCGGAUUAUUUAAACACGCAUAUUGACUGCGAAGCCACUGGAUACAUUUGUAUCUGGGAAGGGGUUUAAAUAAGUUGAUGCUCAGUCAGAAGACCGGCCUAAAAAAUUUA
rnacentral:ncRNA from 1 species